rnacentral:rRNA from 1 species
ACGCCGAAGCUGUAGACGUCGGACUUGACGGUGAGGCGGCCGGUGAGCGCGUAGUCGGGCGCGCAGUAGCCCAAGGUGCCCAUCACGCGCGUGGACACGUGGGUGUCGUCGCCGGAGGGCCCGAUCCGGGCCAGCCCCAGGUCGGACAGCUUGGCGGUGAAGUCGUCGGCCAGGAGGAUGUUGGACGGCUUCAGGUCGCGGUAG